rnacentral:rRNA from 1 species
GAUUACGGGGCGCUGCAAGUUCGAAAACUCUACAAUGCAGGCAACUGCCAUAGGGGAACAUCGAGUGGCACCCACCAUGGGUGUCUGUCCAAUCGUCUAAAAAACGAUUGUCAGCAAGGGCCGGGCAAGACCGGUGCCAGCCGCCGCGGUAAUACCGGCGGCUCGAGUGGUGGCCGAUAUUAUUGAGUCUAAAGGGUCCGUAACCGGAUUUGCAAGUCCCCUGGAAAUCCAUCGGCUUAACCGUUGGGCUUUCAUGGCAUACUACAUUGCUUGGGACUGGGAGAGGUACGAGGUACUCAGGGGGUAGGGGUGAAAUCCUGUAAUCCUUUGGGGACCACCGGUGGCGAAGGCGUCCUACCAAAACAGGUCCGACGGUGAGGGACGAAAGCUAGGGGCACGAACCGGAUUAUAUACCCGGGUAGUCCUAGCCGUAAACGAUGCUCGCUAGGUGUCACGGCAGUCAUGAAUUGUCAUGGUGCCGUACGGAAGCCGUGAAGCGAGCCACUUGUGAAGUACGACCGCAAGGUUGAAACUUAAAGGAAUUGGCGGGGGAGCACAA